rnacentral:misc_RNA from 1 species
GAUGAAGAACGCAGUGAAAUGCGAUACUUGGUGUGAAUUGCAGAAUCCCGUGAACCAUCGAGUCUAUGAACGCAAGUUGCGCCCGAAGCCAUUAGGCCGAGGGCACGCCUGCCUGGGCGUCACACGUCGUUGCCCCCCCAUCUACUCCUUCGGGAUUGCGGGGGGCGGAUGAUGGCCUCCCGUGCGCCUCGUCGCGCGGUUGGCAUAAAUGCCAAGUCCUCGGCGACGCACGCCACGACAAUCGGUGGUUGCGAAACCUCGGUUGCCCGUCGUGUGCGGUCGUCGCGCAUCGAGGGCUCGAAAAAAUUGCCGGGCUCCGGCUCGGCUUUCAACGCGACCCCAGGUCAGGCGGGGUUACCCGCUGAAUUUAAGCAUAUCAAUAAGCGGAGGA